AUUGAAUUGGAGGAAAAAGAAAAAUUUUAAGAACUUUGGCUAAAGUUAUUUAGCCAAACGAUUAUAUAUAUGUAUAUUAGAAACUUUGUUUUACAUUUACUUUUACUGAUAUUAGAAUUUUUUUUUAUUUUCAUCAAUUUUAAACCAUUUUUUAAUUUAAUUUACUUACUUACUUAUUUCCUUUGAGAGAGAGAGAGAAUCGCAAACAGUUCUUGGGGCUCUAUCCCAUGACCCUGAGAUCAUGACCUGAGCCAAAAUCAAGAGUUGGGUGCUUAACUUAGUGAACAACCUAGGCACCCAUUAUGCCAUUUAUUCAACAGAGACAUAAAGAGAGGAGAAAGUAUUUGUUGGUUUGUGUCAAUAAUCAGACUGAUCACUUUAAAAUAAAUAGAGAUAUUUUUAAAGAGCAAAACUUCAAAGAAAAUCAAAUGAAAAAUUUUUAUUAAAGCAGGACAAGUAUAAGGAGGUAUUAAAAACAAUGACAGUAAGAGCAAAGGGAACAAAGACAAUCCCCAAAUUUCCAUUUUGGGUUUCAUUUCAUUUCCACACUUUGAGGAAGUCAACAGCAGGUUACAGUUUUUGCUGUUUUCUUCACACUUGUAAUUCCCAAUGUGGUUGAAAUCUCAUUCCAAGCUAAUUGAAAUAGGAGGAAUGAUUUAGACUCCUGAUUUCAAGCCUGGGCAUAAAUGAUUCACAAUACUUUUAUUGCUAACUAACCUGUAUUCUACCAAGGGCACCUCCGAUGUAAGUAAAACAUGCCAAAUAAUUUAACAUGUGAGUUAUCAUGAAGCACAAUUUCAUUGUUAAAUAUUUACUUGUUCUUUUAUAGUAUUUGCAUGGGUAUACAAACUCUGUUCUACUUGACUCAGUGCCAUCAGAAGGAAAUGUCAAGCACCGGGGGAAAAUUUGGCACUUUGAUUCCACAAGGAUCCAUUCCUGCAGAACCUCUCUCAGACACCCCUUCCUUUGGAAGAAGCAAACUUCCCAGGAAGAGCACAACCACAACUUGGAGAAAUGCCUACAUAAUGUGCAAGGUAUUCAGCUCAAAAAGAGGAGGCAAUGUCAGCAAACUGACUCAACAAUUCAGGGACCUAAUUUAAAUGUGAAGAGACAGUUUGAGGUUCAAAUAUAUAAAGGGGGAAAGACAACUGGGAAAGAUGUUUUAAAACUUUUCUAGGAAAACACUGUUUUUUGUUUUGUAUUAUUUUUUCCAAUUACAGUUUCUGAGCAGAGAGUAUAUAUAUAGGAUGGAUUUACUCUCAAGGUGUGGGAAUGUUGGGAGUCAUCAUUCAUCCCUUGAUGGGAGAGUUUUCUUAGCUGAGCUUUAUGAUCAUGACCGGUAAACUCUGAUCAAAAGAUAUUGAUUUUUCUCUUUUCUGAUUUUUCUCUUCUUUUCCAUUUCUUUAUAUAUAGCACUAAUUCUGUCCUGGGACUAUGACUAAAUUCAAGUUGUACUAAAUGGUCUAUUGGUAUUAUGUAUAGCAUAGCAAAGCAUUUUCACUUGAGUUCUGGGCAUAGCAUGUUUACUGGAUAAAUAUUACUUAGGGAAUUGGUAGUUAAAUUUUCAAUAGAUGCCAUGGGAUCUUUGUUAUGAGGAUCUGACUGUGGUUUCAAAAUGUUGGGCAAAUAGGAAAGGUUCUGUGGAUCUUCUGUGGCUCUGGAAUACAAGGGGUAUUUGAGAGAUGCAAAGAUGCUGAAGGAACAAUGCCUGCCCCAUUGGAAAGUAAUUGUGGACGUCUCUGCUGAAUAAGAAACCAGAAAUCACUUGGGUACCUCAGAGAAGAUCCCUUUAAUGAGGAUAGAGCAGAGGAAGAAUAAAUUAAUGAGAAAAGAUGAUUUUGCACAUAUUGUUGAAUUUUUACAUCCUGGCUAUAAAAAUCAGGAUAAAUUAUUUCAGAUAUUUAGACUUUGUUAAAAUAAAAGAUAUAUCUCAAAUAGAAGUUAUUCUGAACCCCUGUUUGUCAGCAAAACAACCCUCAAGAUGUAUGUGAGCUACCUUAAAUAUAAAAAAAAAUUAAGUGACUAAAAAGAAUCUAUUAAAAAUGUCAUUUAUUUUUGAAAAUCACAUAUUCUAUGUUCUUAAGAAACACUUAUUAACAUUCUAAGAUACAGAUUUCCAUAGACAAAUCUGGGAAGUAUCUCUCUAGAGGAAUGUCUUCUGUCUGGGGUAGACUAUGUUCCAGUGAACUGUUAAGUGCCCAUGAGAUACACCGGCCUGGC
ensembl:lincRNA